rnacentral:lncRNA from 1 species
UGCCACAUGGCAGUGGAAUUGUGUUGUAGAGAAUAACAGCGCCACCAGUCCUUACUUCCAGCAUUUUCUAAUAUUCAGUUGAUAUCUGCCCUUGGAGCCAAAGUUCAAAAAUAAUUUUCUCCAUUUUGGACAUUUGGAUUUUGCCUUCAUUUGUGAUCUUGACAGAUACCUCUAUAGUGAGAUGUGUUGGUUGGAACAUUUUUUUGGCAGUUUCAGCUCACGCCUUGACUCCGGGAAAUGAUCAUAUGAAAUAGAAAUAAAAACCUUAUUUGCAGCAGGCACUCUUGAUGAAGCACGCCAAGCAGGCUAUGAGUUUGUCCCAGUCAUAAAAAUCUAAUUUAACAAAGAAUGCUAAUCCCCCAGCCUUGUUCUUUCUUAAUAUUUUCAAUCAGUCAUUUUGUUUCUGUUCUCUCCCAAAAUGAAAACACUUCAUUUGAAACAAAUUCAGCUCUAGGACUAGUUACUAAAGUUGCAAAACAUGAAAAUGUUGCAAACAAUUCGAUUAUUUUGCUACUUUGAACGCUUUCAAUUUUGUAAAUAAUGUACAUGAACUUGAACCUUAGAACAAAUUUAACGAUAUUAUGGUGCAUAAAAGGGUGUUUAAAGGGACUUGUUUUGAACAAAUGAAUGGAAAAUAUUUUAGCUGUGUUCACUUUAGCGUUUCAAAAUACAACAAAAUUGCUUACUUGUAAGAGACUGAUUCUCCUUAUCUCAGAGUAUAACUGGACCCCCUUUAAAAACUUAGACUCCAAUGAAGUACUUGUCUCAAAUUGUUUGCAAACAUUUCUUCGCAAUAUGUCUUUACGGGAUUAGCAAAUUAAUUUCUCUUACGCAUAUCAGUAGGCCAGUCUAAAUUCGGAUUUGUUUCUGUGGAUUCAAACUGCAGUGAAAUUGUCGCUACUCACAAUGUAAACAAUUCUUAACUAUUUUCCUCCUGCGAACAAACUUAACGGAAUUGUCCCUGGAACUGAAACUUAUCGUAUACCAAAAGGCAUUGCAAAUGCAUCAAAUUAUGAAACUGUAAGAUUGAACAUGAAAACAAAGUUGUAAUUUCUAUUGUAAUACAUAACAACUUGUUGUGGAGAGAAAUAUAAUUGCAUAUAUGAAUAUAGAAAUGGAUUGUGUUGUUGCCUUGGUAUGCGACUCGUUGGAAUAAAUUCUUCAUUAUGAAUGCGAGAUAGAACUCCACAUGCAUGGCAUUGUUUUUAUAUUGUGCUGAAGUGGAUUUAACGUAUCGUUCUUAUUGCACCUAUAGAUACCAAAAGUUAUGCCGUAUGAAACACGCAUUUGAAACGGAUUUACUGUUUUGGGGGGGAGGGGUGGAGUGAAUUUAACAUCUUUUGCAAUCUCUGGCCUUUUUAUGGUGUCAUCAGUAUUGCUUAUUGUCCGACCAUUUGACAGUCUUGUCAGAGCCAUUAAAAAGGGUUUUAAGGUAUACAUGUACUGGAUUUAAGCGUAUGCACAAUGCCAAGCGUUGGUCUUUAAGAUAUGUAGGUUAAUGGCAAGUAGUAUUCAGUGCGCUGAGAGCAGGUGUCUGCAAAACAGGUUGCAGGUGAAUUAGAUAUGUAUCAAUCACAGAGUACAGUUAAUGUACCGUGAUGCAUUAUUGCGUCCGGGAUAGAUGCGAUUUUUGCUGGGGGUUGUUGUCGGUAUUUAAGGCACUUAUUUGUGAGAAAUUUGCAUUUAAAGAGAGUCCGAAUUAAACAUGUAUUUCACUUUACCAGACUGAGGUUUGUCAAGUCGAUUAUACCUAUAAUUGGGACAAAAACAAACAUGAUGAAGUAUCCCUUGCCCAGAGGAAAAUCGCCAUUGUUUAGUGGCUCAAUAUUUCGAGUCUGUAUUUAAUAUUGACAUGACUGUGCUCGUAUUCUAAAGGAUUUUCUAGGUUCAUGUCCCGACGGCUGCCUUGGCCAACGCCAAGGGCUCCCUCCGCACGAGCUGGGGUGUUUUAAUAAAUUCAGUGCUGCGCAAGCAAGUGGACUGCAACACUGCCAGCGGCUUGCAUGCGCGCGUCCACCUGCACUGAGCGAGACCCUGUAACAACACGAAAAACCUCCCUAGUCGUGUCUGCACCGCGCCUUGCAAAAUGGCCGGCAGGGCAAUCCGGCAACUCGCGUUUGCGCCAACGACCCGCAUUAAGAGCAGGCCCAGUUUUUCUUCCCUCUACUCGGGCAAGUUGCAUCAGCGAAAUUCUAUGAUAUACAUAUUGACAGAGGCCUGCUUGAGAAUGAUAUUAACCGAUAAGCUUUCUGCCUGACACACGUUUCCGCCAUGGGCUUUUUCAUUUUAUUACUGAGGUACUUCCUGCUUCGUAACAUCUAACUGGUAUAGUCAUUACCUUGCAACACGAGCUGCAAGCAUUAAAUUUGAAUCUUUCAGUAGCAAACGGGCUACAAAUUCAGGUGGUGCAUUUGUGUCAGGAACUUCCUGUUGCUCUCUGUUUCCUUUGAGCUCUCUGAUCCAGCAACAUAAUUUAACAGCGCACUGUCCUCUUUUAAUCAAGGAUUGUUAUAUUUUUGUGUGUUUGCUUUUCUUUUGCCACUGAUGUAUAUGGAGCGCUUCAUACGCCACUCUCUGAAAAUCAUAUAUUUAACAGGUUUUCACAGACUGGUGUCUGAACACCUAAAAUAUCUUACACACAUCCUGUCAAGAUUUCUAAAGCUGACCCAGCUUGUAAUUUAUUUCCCUGAUAAUCGCAAUGCAUGAUAGAGCCCGGAAAAGGACUAAAGAUGAUGGUGAUAAUUUCGUCAGUUUCACCGCAUAGAGGAAUAAGUGACAGCUUCUGUCGAGAAUGGUCUUUGUCAAACCAUGCGGGUAAUUAAAAACAGAAUUUUUACAAGCACAGUGAUCGAGGCACACAACGAAUUUGGAGCUGAGGCAGAUGUGACUAGUGAAGCUCAUCCUUUCGCUCAUUUUUUUUCAGUAAAGAGUCUGAGUUUUUCUUGUAAUGAUAUACAUUGUACAAUAUUUCUCUUUAAAGGAUUAUUUCUUUCAUCGCUGUCUCUGUGUCCUGGUUCCAUUGUGCGGUACGCAUACUUUUUAAAUAGCCAUACAAUGAUCUUUUUUCCUUGUCGCGGUGCUAAUGUGUGUUCCUGUAUCAUUCGAACACCUACGUUGACGUCGUAGUCCUUCAUAAAUUUCUCGGUAUUUACAUUUUUUCCGAAUGUAAUUUCCGUCUCAUUCAUGCUUUAAUCUUGUAUGCACCACAACAAGCAGUUUGUACAACUAGAAAUUAAUGGUUUUCGAGAAAUCUGAAAUGAUAGUAUUUCGUAACUUGAUUAGUAGGCGUCUUAGGCUUGUCACGAACGGGUAAUUGCCAAGACUCACCAAUCCAGCGGUGGUUGUUUUUAUUUGCUUUUUUUCCGUGAUGGUUUAUAAUCGGAUUAAAGUGCGGGUGGAGACUUACGUCAUUUCACGGCCGCCAGGGUCCUUCUUUCAAAUGAAUGGGAAAAAAACAUCCGCCGUAAUUCAUGAAGCUUGCUGUUUUGAAAAAUUUCAGGCAAGCGUACGGGGGAUAUUAACCUCUCACAUAAAUUAGCUGAAGUCCAGUAUCAGGUAUGCAUUAAUUGCAGCGUUGUUUUCUGUGAUUUGUCUUAAAGGGUGGUCAUAGCAGAGAUCCUUGGGCGGCUCUCGGUGUUUCCGACGUGGUAAAAAAUAGUGCAUGUGCAUCGCGGAAGCAAAACAGAUCACAGCCACCGUACGCUGUGGUGAACAAAAUGAAAAAACGCUAUUGAGUGGCCCCUUGAAGCUGAAUAGAGUUCUGUGUAGGACACUUGCACCGAGUGCAUUAAGAAUGUCAUGGGUACAUGAUAAGUGAUCAUUAUGGCAAGUACGCGCCAUCGAGGCUGUCAGCUGCCCCUCCUACAAAAAAAUAACAUGAAAUAAAGAUGAAAUGCAAGGGUUAUUAUGUGUACAUCGUAACAAUGUAGCUCAUUAUAAUAAUCACCUGUCUGGAACACUUAGACAUAAAAAAUCUGAUGAGCUUAACACAUCCCCAGGACAAAGUCCUUGAUCCGUCCUUGCCGCUGUACCUCUUACGAUUUAAAUUAAGACACAUCAUUGGCUUUUUUAUUUGUUUUGUACUGAGCGUAAUUUGUGCCGAAUGACUGCAAUAAAAAGAGAAAUUUCCCCGCAAGUAUACGGUGUGGGAAAUUUUAAUGUGCGCAAAUGCAGCGAAGGCAAACAAACAUCUGUUAUGAUUGUGAGGGGAAAUUUUAUGAAGUAAACGGACAGAAUUCUCUGGCUUUCUAUUACGGGCCUAUCACUUCCCUGGGAAUAUUGCCAGGUGGACCAAUUGAUUUGGCCGAUCCUACCACCAAAGAAUCUCCCGAAUGGUGUAAAUUAUACGAACAAACAGUAAACAUUGAAAUGUCGGCGACAAAUGAAAUCCCAAGUACAUCAAAAUCAUACAUACAUAAAGCGAAAUUUAUUACAAUUAAUGGGAACUGGUGUAUUAAGUGUGAUAAUUUUACGUAGUCUAAAUUAUGCUCAUUGUGCGCUUCUUAUGACAACUGGGAAAGUGGCAUUCUAACUGCUGUGAGUUUUCCCAGCUGUGAACGAAAUUUGCCCAAGGCAUACAGAGGUUUGUGCGAACAAUGAUUGAUUUCUUGGUCGAUUUUGCAAAAGCUCAAAAUUUUAAACAUGAGCAUUGUGGAAAACUCAUUUCUCUUAAAUUGAAUCUCCCGUCUGGAAGGUUACACAAGCAAGUCAAUGUUGGUGUAUGCUGAUUUUUUUCUAGAGUGCAAUAAAUUAGUGCUUCUUUUCUGAAAGUUUAGUUUAAUACAGCCAUGUUAGUUCACAGUGGUAAAUUUGAAUGUCAGUACUAAUGUGUAUUGCAUAUCUGUUGAUAAAUUAAGGUAGCUUAUGAGGUCAUAAUUGAUAAAAGAACACGAACUGCAAGACGCCAAUGUGAAAAAUGUGAGCUCUAAUUAGAUUAGAGACAACAGUAAGUUGGAAAGAGUGCUUAUUUCCUUCAAUGUUGUAAAUGAAAAUGGAGAACACAUUUUGCCUCUCAACAUCAGUAUUGGGGGAAAUGCACUACGCCACGAGUAAGGACCAGGAUGGCUAAUGUUUGAAGGGAAAAUAAAAUCAUGUCUGACGUCAUCCCAGCGUGUUUAUCAAGACCCGGAUAAGAUAAUUGAUGGCCAGGGCAGAUGUGCACGCCAAUACAAAUACACCGAGGACGUUGUGUUUGGACAGUUCCUCUCACACUUUGGCCCCUUUUAUUCAAAAUGGGAUUUUGUCAGUGGAAAUAAAAAUAGGUUAAACUUUUGUGUGGCUGUCCCCAGAAAAUUGUAUCAAUCUGUCAUUGUCAUGCCGGCGCUCUUCUGAGAAAGCUAUGAUUUUUAUAGAUCUACUUUUUUUUUCAAUGUAAUCAGAAACAAUUGCAUCACUGACCCGGCCUGGGAUUCCGCGGGAUAGAUGUUGGUUCCCCAUGCGGUUUCUAGUUCGACAUCCACCCUAUUUUUUCAAUGAAAGAACAACCUUUCAAUUUUGUGAAAGAAUAGAUUGGAAAGCCGAGCUUGAUUUGAUGGGUGGGCCGAGGGGGGGUACAGGAUUAUAUACUGACCGGCGGUCGCGGUAGAAGUGGAGGUAUAGUUUCAGAGCCUGGCAGAGAUUACGCAGGUAUGUAAGCCUUAUUAUUAAAUAAAUUUGCUGAAAAUUACUGGUUUCCUUGCUGCAGGCUAUGGUGAUCCUAAAAAGUAUCGUUCGAUGUAUAUGUAUAAAUGAACUAAUAUCAGUCAGUUAUUAUGGAUCAUUUAUGUAAAUUAACACGUUGAGUACAACGUGCAAGUGUCGACGUGCACAAUACUCUCAAGCAAACCCAACUGUGCCAAACCCUAUUCAUAUUUAUUCAUAUGCAAAUUCAAAUAUUGAUGGAAAUGGGUUUAGCCCAUCAUUGGAUCAAAUAAAUGGAGACUGUGUUUGUGUUCGGA